rnacentral:rRNA from 1 species
UCGAUUUGGAGGUUGUGCCCUUGAGGCGUGGCUUCCCGGAGCUAACGCGUUAAAUCGACCGCCUGGGGAGUACGGCCGCAAGGUUAAAACUCAAAUGAAUUGACGGGGGCCCGCACAAGCGGUGGAGCAUGUGGUUUAAUUCGAUGCAACGCGAAGAACCUUACCUGGUCUUGACAUCCACAGAACUUUCCAGAGAUGGAUUGGUGCCUUCGGGAACUGUGAGACAGGUGCUGCAUGGCUGUCGUCAGCUCGUGUUGUGAAAUGUUGGGUUAAGUCCCGCAACGAGCGCAACCCUUAUCCUUUGUUGCCAGCGGUUAGGCCGGGAACUCAAAGGAGACUGCCAGUGAUAAACUGGAGGAAGGUGGGGAUGACGUCAAGUCAUCAUGGCCCUUACGACCAGGGCUACACACGUGCUACAAUGGCAUAUACAAAGAGAAGCGACCUCGCGAGAGCAAGCGGACCUCAUAAAGUAUGUCGUAGUCCGGAUUGGAGUCUGCAACUCGACUCCAUGAAGUCGGAAUCGCUAGUAAUCGUAGAUCAGAAUGCUACGGUGAAUACGUUCCCGGGCCU